UCUUUUUCACUUCUCUCUUCCUCCAAAUUCUCUGUGAUCUGAGGCGAUUUUCUUGGUUUCCGUCACGAUUUCUUCGCUUUUGUUCAUCAAAUUCUAGUGUGUUUUCGUUAAGCUAUUUUGAUUUACUAGCUCGAAAAGGUCUAUGGGGAGUAGUGACAGAUAACGUAGGAUAUGUACUGGCUUCUACUUGUCUAAAGAUAGAAGGAGUCUUCGAUGUGGAGGUGGUUGAAGCUCUGGGUGCAAGACAUGCAUUACAAGUAGCAUUUGAUGCAGGCCUUCAAAGAUUAGUACUCGAAACAGACUGCCUGAAGCUUUUCACUCAUUUGAGUAAAAAGAUUGUUGAGCCUACAAUUUUUGGUCUGAUCGUGAAGGAUAUAUUAGCUAUUUCAUCCUUAGGUGCUACUGUUAAAUACUCCCAUGUUAGAAAACAGGGCAAUACAGUUGCUCACAUACGGCCAAGCUUAGCAAUCAUUCACUGAAAUGCGGGUUUGGCUAGAAGAGGCACAUGUUGAGAUUAUGGGCUUUGUAAUAUCUAAUUAUGCUGUUUUGAUGAAUUAAUAAACACUAUUGAGCUCCAUAUAUUUUUUUCUUGUAACCAUAUGAAUGUCAGCUAUCAUGUAACCAUAUGAAUGUCAGUUACCGGGUUUAUAUGCUCA